UACGUAGGGCGCAAGCGUUAUCCGGAAUUAUUGGGCGUAAAGAGCUCGUAGGCGGUUUGUCGCGUCUGCCGUGAAAGUCCGGGGCUCAACUCCGGAUCUGCGGUGGGUACGGGCAGACUAGAGUGAUGUAGGGGAGACUGGAAUUCCUGGUGUAGCGGUGAAAUGCGUAGAGAUCUGGAGGAACACCCGUGGCGAAGGCGGCUCCCUGGUCCGGUUCUGACGCUGAGACGCGAAAGCGCGGGGAGCGAACGGG
rnacentral:rRNA from 1 species